rnacentral:rRNA from 1 species
GAUGAACGCUGGCGGCGUGCCUAAUACAUGCGAGUCGAGCGAACAGACGAGGAGCUUGCUCCUCUGACGUUAGCGGCGGACGGGUGAGUAACACGUGGAUAACCUACCUAUAAGACUGGGAUAACUUCGGGAAACCGGAGCUAAUACCGGAUAAUAUAUUGAACCGCAUGGUUCAAUAGUGAAAGACGGUUUUGCUGUCACUUAUAGAUGGAUCCGCGCCGCAUUAGCUAGUUGGUAAGGUAACGGCUUACCAAGGCAACGAUGCGUAGCCGACCUGAGAGGGUGAUCGGCCACACUGGAACUGAGACACGGUCCAGACUCCUACGGGAGGCAGCAGUAGGGAAUCGUCCGCAAUGGGCGAAAGCUUGACGGAGCAACGCCGCGUGAGUGAUGAAGGUCUUCGGAUCGUAAAACUCUGUUAUUAGGGAAGAACAAAUGUGUAAGUAACUAUGCACGUCUUGACGGUACCUAAUCAGAAGGCCACGGCUAACUACGUG